rnacentral:tRNA from 1 species
GGCCCCUUGGUCAAGCGGUUAAGACACCGCCCUUUCACGGCGGUAACACGGGUUCGAAUCCCGUCGGGGUCACCA